UACGUAGGGUGCGAGCGUUUAAUCGGAAUUACUGGGCGUAAAGCGUGCGCAGGCGGUUCGUUGUGUCGGUGGUGAAAUCCCCGGGCUUAACCUGGGAAUGGCCAUGGAAACUGGCGAACUGGAGUGGCGGCAGAGGGGGGUGGAAUUCCGCGUGUAGCAGUGAAAUGCGUAGAGAUGCGGAGGAACACCCGGAUGGCGAAGGCAGCCCCCCUGGGCUAGCACUGACGCUCGAGGCACGAAAGCGUGGGGAGCAAACAGG
rnacentral:rRNA from 1 species